CUCCCUGUGGCUCAGUUGGUAGAGCAUGGUGUUUGCAACGCCAGGGUUGGGGGUUCGUUUCCCACGGGGGGC
rfam:Salmo salar isolate Sally breed double haploid chromosome ssa12, whole genome shotgun sequence.